rnacentral:rRNA from 1 species
GACGAACGCUGGCGGCGUGCCUAAUACAUGCAAGUCGAGCGAGCGGAACUAACAGAUUUACUUCGGUAAUGACGUUAGGAAAGCGAGCGGCGGAUGGGUGAGUAACACGUGGGGAACCUGCCCCAUAGUCUGGGAUACCACUUGGAAACAGGUGCUAAUACCGGAUAAGAAAGCAGAUCGCAUGAUCAGCUUUUAAAAGGCGGCGUAAGCUGUCGCUAUGGGAUGGCCCCGCGGUGCAUUAGCUAGUUGGUAAGGUAAAGGCUUACCAAGGCGAUGAUGCAUAGCCGAGUUGAGAGACUGAUCGGCCACAUUGGGACUGAGACACGGCCCAAACUCCUACGGGAGGCAGCAGUAGGGAAUCUUCCACAAUGGACGCAAGUCUGAUGGAGCAACGCCGCGUGAGUGAAGAAGGUUUUCGGAUCGUAAAGCUCUGUUGUUGGUGAAGAAGGAUAGAGGUAGUAACUGGCCUUUAUUUGACGGUAAUCAACCAGAAAGUCACGGCUAACUACGUGCCAGCAGCCGCGGUAAUACGUAGGUGGCAAGCGUUGUCCGGAUUUAUUGGGCGUAAAGCGAGCGCAGGCGGAAGAAUAAGUCUGGUGUGAAAGCCCUCGGCUUAACCGAGGAACUGCAUCGGAAACUGUUUUUCUUGAGUGCAGAAGAGGAGAGUGGAACUCCAUGUGUAGCGGUGGAAUGCGUAGAUAUAUGGAAGAACACCAGUGGCGAAGGCGGCUCUCUGGUCUGCAACUGACGCUGAGGCUCGAGAGCAUGGGUAGCGAACAGG